UGUGGGAGCGAGCCUGCUCGCGAUGGCGUUAAUCCAGUCACUUUAUGUGUUGAAUGUAAGACCGCUAUCGCGAGCAGGCUCGCUCCCACA
rnacentral:misc_RNA from 1 species